UUACAUUUAGUUUACAACAUUUGUAUAGCUCAUAAUAUGGUUGAGUGUUUCUACGGCAGACCUUAAUAAAUUGCCACUACAAAUGAUUUUUUUAGAACA
rnacentral:ncRNA from 2 species